rnacentral:rRNA from 1 species
GAUCCUGGCUCAGGAUGAACGCUGGCGGCGUGCUUAACACAUGCAAGUCGAACGGAGCACUUUUACAGAUUUCUUCGGAAUGAAGUUUUAGUGACUGAGUGGCGGACGGGUGAGUAACGCGUGGGUAACCUGCCUCACACAGGGGGGAUAACAGUUGGAAACGGCUGCUAAUACCGCAUAAGCGCACAGUACCGGCAUGGUACAGUGUGAAAACUCCGGUGGUGUGAGAUGGACCCGCGU